AAUCAACGCUGGCGGCGUGCCUAACACAUGCAAGUCGCACGAGAAAGGGUAGCAAUACCUGAGUAAAGUGGCGCACGGGUGAGUAACACGUGACUAACCUACCCUCGAGUGGGGAAUAACCUAGGGAAACCCUGGGCUAAUACCGCAUAAUACCCACGGGUCAAAGAAGCAAUUCGCUUGAGGAGGGGGUCGCGGCCGAUUAGUUAGUUGGCGGGGUAAUGGCCCACCAAGACUAUGAUCGGUAUCCGGCCUGAGAGGGCGCACGGACAC
rnacentral:rRNA from 1 species